rnacentral:ncRNA from 2 species
GAAUAUGAAAUGCGAGAAGGUGCUUUUUGCUUCGUUCCUAUCGAAUGAAGGGAAGGCUUAAUAGGGAAGUCCGGUGAAAAUCCGGCACGGACCCGCCACUGUAAAGAAGCGUUCGCCGACAAGGCGGACAACCGCAUCGGCAAUCGUCACUGGGCAUUCCCGGGAAGGCGCCGAAUCAGCGGACUUCAAGUCAGGAGACCUGCCUGCUCGGUAACGCUACG